AUCACAGUCACAGUGUCUUAAACUACAACACAACUACAAGAUGAGAACUUUCCUUGGACUCUUCGUGGUUCUCUUUAUAGCCGUGUGCCUGACGCCCUACUCAGACGCCUGCUGUUGUCAUCACGGCAGUCACCACAGCCACCACAGCAGGCACGGCAUCCCCAUCCCCAUCCCCUACCCCAUGGGCGGCAGCAGCGGCGGCAGCCACUCCGCCAACAUCCCCCUCAUCAUCACAACAACAGGAAAAUAGAAACAUAUGACGUGGUCAACUUCGGCGAAGGUCAAGUUAAUGGUUCCAGUCUUUUUCUUCGCCCUCCCACCUGUAUGUCAUUAUGAAUAAAAUCUUCUUGAAAAUCA